rnacentral:rRNA from 1 species
AAGCAGCCACACAUUCAAAGAGUGCGUAAUAGCUCACUAGUCGAGAGGUCCUGCGCCGAAAAUGUCCGGGGCUGAAACACAACACCGAAGCUUGGGAAUGUCGUAAGACAUUGGUAGAGGAGCAUUCUCAGGACGGAGAAGCGGUACCGGUAAGGAGCCGUGGAGUGCUGAGAAGAGAGAAUGCCGGAAUGAGUAGCGAGAUGGAGGUGGGAAUCCUCCAGGCCGAAUAUCCAAGGUUUCCAGAGUAAAGCUGAUCUGCUCUGGGUAAGUCGGGGCCUAAGGCGAGGCUGA